rnacentral:rRNA from 1 species
AUUAACGCUAGCGGCAGGCAUAAUACAUGCAAGUUGAACGGCAGCACAGGUAGCAAUACUGGGUGGCGAGUGGCGCACGGGUGCGUAACACGUAUGCAACCUACCCUAUACAGGCGAAUAACCUUUAGAAAUGAGGGCUAAUACGCCGUAGUAUUACAGAUGGGCAUCUAUUUGUAAUUAAAGAUUUAUCGGUAUAGGAUGGGCAUGCGUCCCAUUAGUUAGUUGGUAAGGUAACGGCUUACCAAGACGAUGAUGGUAGGGG